rnacentral:rRNA from 1 species
AUUGAACGCUGGCGGCAUGCCUUACACAUGCAAGUCGAACGGCAGCGCGGGCUUCGGCCUGGCGGCGAGUGGCGAACGGGUGAGUAAUAUAUCGGAACGUACCCAAGAGUGGGGGAUAACGUAGCGAAAGUUACGCUAAUACCGCAUACGAUCUAAGGAUGAAAGCAGGGGAUCGCAAGACCUUGUGCUCCUGGAGCGGCCGAUAUCUGAUUAGCUAGUUGGUGGGGUAAAGGCCCACCAAGGCAACGAUCAGUAGCUGGUCUGAGAGGACGACCAGCCACACUGGAACUGAGACACGGUCCAGACUCCUACGGGAGGCAGCAGUAGGGAAUAUUGCACAAUGGAGGAAACUCUGAUGCAGCGACGCCGCGUGAGUGAUGAAGGCCUUCGGUCGUAAAGCUCUGUCGUAUGGGACGUAACAAAAUAGAAGGUACCAUGCAAGAAAGGAAUCGGCUAACUUACGUGCCAGCAGCCGCGGU